rnacentral:rRNA from 1 species
AACGAACGCUGGCGGCAGGCUUAACACAUGCAAGUCGAGCGAGACCUUCGGGUCUAGCGGCGGACGGGUGAGUAACGCGUGGGAACGUGCCCUUCUCUACGGAAUAGCCCCGGGAAACUGGGAGUAAUACCGUAUACGCCCUUUGGGGGAAAGAUUUAUCGGAGAAGGAUCGGCCCGCGUUGGAUUAGGUAGUUGGUGGGGUAAUGGCCCACCAAGCCGACGAUCCAUAGCUGGUUUGAGAGGAUGAUCAGCCACACUGGGACUGAGACACGGCCCAGACUCCUACGGGAGGCAGCAGUGGGGAAUCUUAGACAAUGGGGGCAACCCUGAUCUAGCCAUGCCGCGUGAGUGAUGAAGGCCUUAGGGUUGUAAAGCUCUUUCAGCUGGGAAGAUAAUGACGGUACCAGCAGAAGAAACCCCGGCUAACUCCGU